AGUUAUCCUAACAGUCUAGUCUUCCACACUUUAAUCUGGAAAAGGAUCACCAGUCUUGGUCAUGCAGCUUGAGAUCUGGACAGGAAAUCAGAGCACCUUGUAAGAUGGCUGAGUCCAAGUCUAAGACAUGAAAUGAACAAAAUGAACCAGGAAACUCUCUCUACACCAGAUUAAAGGGACACUGCUAAAGGCUCUGGGUUGUGUCAGGAGUAGUUGGAAACCAACUUGAAAGAGUUUCCCUGGCAACAUACAGGAAUAUCUGAGCAUCAUAAAUAGACAAGAUCUUAAAACUUCUCAUUAUAGGAAAAAAAUGUACCUAUGUAUGGAAACAGAUGUUAACUAGAUGUAUUGUGAUGAUCAUUUCACAGUAUAUACAAAUAUUGAAUCAUGAUGUUGAACAACUGAAGCUGAUAUAAUGUUAUAUGUCAUUAUACGUCAAUAAAAAUAAAUCGGUAAAUAAAUACAACCUCAAGAGUUUGAAAUACAACACCUAUGUAAAAUGUGCAUGAGUUUUUAAUAACAUAAAGAGAAUACUUCCUAUACAACCUUUGGAGAAAGUGAGAAAUCACAAUCUGUCUGAAAACUGGAAAAUAAAUAGAAAGAAUCAAGCAUUA